GCUGUGAUAGUGUAAUGGUUAUCAUUUCUGCCUACCAGGCAAGAAGACCCGGGUUCGAGUCCCGGCCGCAGCA